rnacentral:lncRNA from 1 species
GUUCCGCCCGAGAUCAGCCAGUGCAUUACAACACAGCCCCCUGAACGUCUUCCUGCAACGUGCAAUCUUUUAUGUUAUGCUGUAUUAAGAUUUCUUUUCUGUGUCAUAUUGUUUAGCUCCGAAAAAAAAAUAAAAGAAAACAAAGCAAUUAAAAAGAUUGACAGGUA